rnacentral:rRNA from 1 species
GACGAACGCUGGCGGCGUGCUUAACACAUGCAAGUCGAACGCUGAAGCUCAGCUUUUGUUGGGUGGAUGAGUGGCGAACGGGUGAGUAACACGUGAGUAACCUGCCUCCUUCUUUGGGAUAACGCCCGGAAACGGGUGCUAAUACUGGAUAUUCACUGGUCUUCGCAUGGGGGUUGGUGGAAAGGGUUUUUCUGGUGGGGGAUGGGCUCGCGGCCUAUCAGCUUGUUGGUGGGGUGAUGGCCUACCAAGGCUUUGACGGGUAGCCGGCCUGAGAGGGUGACCGGUCACAUAGGGGCUGAGAUACGGCCCAGACUCCGACGGGAGGCAGCAGUGGGGAAUAUUGCACAAUGGGCGCAAGCCUGAUGCAGCGACGCCGCGUGAGGGAUGGAGGCCUUCGGGUUGUGAACCUCUUUCGCUCAUGGUCAAGCCGCAACAAUGGUUGUGGUGAGGGUAGUGGGUAAAGAAGCGCCGGCUAACUACGUG